rnacentral:rRNA from 1 species
CGGUGAACACGGAGCUUGCUCUGUGGGAUCAGUGGCGAACGGGUGAGUAACACGUGAGCAACCUGCCCCUGACUCUGGGAUAAGCGCUGGAAACGGCGUCUAAUACUGGAUAUGUGACGUGACCGCAUGGUCUGCGUUUGGAAAGAUUUUUCGGUUGGGGAUGGGCUCGCGGCCUAUCAGCUUGUUGGUGAGGUAAUGGCUCACCAAGGCGUCGACGGGUAGCCGGCCUGAGAGGGUGACCGGCCACACUGGGACUGAGACACGGCCCAGACUCCUACGGGAGGCAGCAGUGGGGAAUAUUGCACAAUGGGCGCAAGCCUGAUGCAGCAACGCCGCGUGAGGGAUGACGGCCUUCGGGUUGUAAACCUCUUUUAGCAGGGAAGAAGCGAAAGUGACGGUACCUGCAGAAAAAGCGCCGGCUAACUACGUGCCAGCAGCCGCGGUAAUACGUAGGGCGCAAGCGUUAUCCGGAAUUAUUGGGCGUAAAGAGCUCGUAGGCGGUUUGUCGCGUCUGCUGUGAAAUCCCGAGGCUCAACCUCGGGCCUGCAGUGGGUACGGGCAGACUAGAGUGCGGUAGGGGAGAUUGGAAUUCCUGGUGUAGCGGUGGAAUGCGCAGAUAUCAGGAGGAACACCGAUGGCGAAGGCAGAUCUCUGGGCCGUAACUGACGCUGAGGAGCGAAAGGGUGGGGAGCAAACAGGCUUAGAUACCCUGGUAGUCCACCCCGUAAACGUUGGGAACUAGUUGUGGGGUCCAUUCCACGGAUUCCGUGACGCAGCUAACGCAUUAAGUUCCCCGCCUGGGGAGUAC